rnacentral:rRNA from 1 species
UACGAAGGGGGCUAGCGUUUUUAGGAGUCACUGGGCGUGAAGCGCACGUAGGCGGACUUGUUAGUCAGGGGUGAAAUCCCAGGGCUCAACCCUGGAACUGCCUUUGAUACUGCAAUUCUCGAGUCCGGAAGAGGUGAGUGGAACUCCUAGUGGAGAGGUGAAAUUCGUAGAUAUUAGGAAGAACACCAGUGGCGAAGGUGGCUCACUGGUCCGUAGCUGACGCUGUGGUACGAAUGCCUAGAGAGCAUACAGG